rnacentral:rRNA from 1 species
UACAGAGGUCUCAAGCGUUGUUCGGAUUCAUUGGGCGUAAAGGGUGCGUAGGCGGCGCGGUAAGUCGGGGUGUGAAAUCUCGGAGCUUAACUCCGAAACUGCAUUCGAUACUGCCGUGCUUGAGGACUGGAGAGGAGACUGGAAUUUACGGUGUAGCGGUGAAAUGCGUAGAUAUCGUAAGGAAGACCAGUGGCGAAGGCGGGUCUCUGGACAGUUCCUGACGCUGAGGCACGGAAGGUCAGGGGGAGCAAACGGG